ACAGACAUUAAACCACUAUGGUGUAUAUCUCAGUGUAGAGCCCACCAACAGACCUAACACUGUGGUGUAGAGCUCAGUGUAGAGCCACAACAGACAUUAACACUAUGGUGUAGAUCUCAGUGUAGAGCCACCAACAGACAUUAACACCCUAUGGUGUAGAUCUCAGGUAGAGCCACCAACAGACAUUACACUAUUGUGUAGAUCUCCGUGCUAGAGCCACCAAAUACA
rnacentral:lncRNA from 1 species